UACGUAGGGGCAAGCGUUGUCCGGAUUUAUUGGGCGUAAAGAGCGUGUAGGCGGCCGCACAGGUCCGUUGUGAAAACUGGAGGCUCAACCUUCAGACGUCGAUGGAAACCGUGCGGCUAGAGUCCGGAAGAGGAGAGUGGAAUUCCUGGUGUAGCGGUGAAAUGCGCAGAUAUCAGGAAGAACACCCGUGGCGAAGGCGGCUCUCUGGGACGGUACUGACGCUGAGGAGCGAAAAGCGUGGGGGAGCGAACAGG
rnacentral:rRNA from 1 species